rfam:Pleistophora sp. (LS) 16S rRNA gene
CACCAGGUUGAUUCUGCCUGACGUAGACGCUAGUUUCACAGAUUGAUCCAUGCAAUUUUAGGGAACCAUAUGGGGACCGGAGAAAGGCUCAGUAACGGGUAUCUAUUUGCUCUCGGAUGGUGAAUAACCUCAGGAAACGGAGGCUAAAAGCCGGGGAGAUUAAGGGACCAGGUCAUCAGUUAGUAGGUAGGGUAAGGGCCUACCUAGACGWAGACGACUACGGGGAAGACGAUUUCUAUUCCGGAGAGGGAGCCUGAGAGAUGGCUACCAGGUCUAAGGACUGCAGCAGGCGCGCAAAUUACCGAAGGCCGGAGUGGUGCGGUAGUGAUGAAACGUANAUAUUGAGAGGCGGGUAAAGGACGCUUUAGCAACUGGAGGUCUAGUCUGGUGCCAGCAUCCGCGGUAAUACCAGCUCCAGGAGCGUCUACGAUGAUUGCUGCGAUUAAAACGUUCGUAGUCUGGGGGCUAUAUUUUUCUGUAAUGGGCCUGCUUGAGGGGCGCGGAAGAAGGAUACUGGCUGAUUGAAGGAGCGACCGGGGGCCGGCUUAUUAUGUGACGAGGGGUGAAAUCUGAAGACUCAUGUAGGAGGAGCAAGGGCGAAAGCACUGGCCAAGGGCGUAUCUGUUGAUCAAGGACGUAGGCUCGAUGUUCGAAUACGAUUAGAUACCGUAGUAGUUCGAGCAGUUAACGAUGCCGACUGUGCGACACGGAUGUGUUGUGCGCGAGAAAUUGAGUAGGGCUUUGGGGAGAGUACGCGCGCAAGCGAUAAAUUUAAACGAAAUUGACGGAAGAAUAUCACAGGGAGUGGAGUGUGCGGCUUUCUAAUUUGACUCAACGCGGGAAAGCUUACCAGGCCCGAGAGCCGUAUGAGUGAGUACACGAUAGGCUUGAGAGUGGUGCAUGGCCGUUAUCGACGAGUGGAGUGAUCUUUUGGUUAAUUCCGGUAAUUUGUGAUCUCCCUUUGAUGGGCGCUGUAAGGCGCAUGUGACGGGAUAAGAACAGGUCAGUGAUGCCCUUAGACGGUCUGGGCUGCACGCGCACUACAGUAUUGCUUUUAGAUGGUAUGUUAGAUGGAAUGGGCAAUAUAAGGGAUUGUGCGCUGGAAUGCGCGCAUGAACGUGGAAUUGCUAGUAAUCGCAGGCUCAGUAGGAUGCGAAGAAUGUGUCACUGUUCUUUGUACACACCGCCCGUCGUUAUCGAAGACGUUGUUGGUAAUGAGGGAAUCUGAAUGACCGAAUUAUCAAUGAUGGAUCUGGUACAAGUCGUAACAAGGCAACUGUAGGAGAACCAGCAGCAGGAUCAUAA